rnacentral:sRNA from 1 species
UUUCAGCUCUGAGCAGCCGCAUCUAUCGGAAGUCCCUCCGCCUCAGUCGCACUUCUCUGGGCUUCUGUCCAAAGCUGUUGGAUGGUCCUUGUCGACUAGUCGACACAUCAGUCCUCCGACUGAAGACUCUGAGGCAGUAGACCAGUCCCAUUCAAUGCCAAGAAUCUUGGAAACAACUUCUUGAAGGGCCGACGAUUGUAGAAAGACACAUAGUCCACAUAGAGACGGGACAGCAAGUGCCUUCGGAAGAUGGGAUCGAUGAAAGGAGUUUGUGUAUUCAUUCGUCUGGCGUUCAAGCCAGUUAGUGCCGUUGAAGCCAGUGCAAGACAGUAGUGGGGUUUCGUAGAAGGCACCAAAAAUGCCAAUCUGUCCUGAGCGCACGAGUGAGGACAGGGAACGAGGCACUCUGCUGCGGGAUAUCCCGACGAGGCCUUGUUUCACGAAUACCUCCCACUCCAGCUAGGCGUACAGGCUAUCAGUGAGAAAAACAAAACCACCAGACGAAUGCCGACGGAGCGAUUCCCUAUGCCACACGAUACAUUUAUUCCUUUAACAAAACAGGAAAACUUGCUGUGGAGGCAGAAGAAGUCUUAUGAUUUGCUUGAUUAUGCUACGUAAUCAAAUUCAGAAAAAUGCAGAAUUUAUUAUUAGGAAUAAGCAUGUAUUUUUACAACUUAGCAUACGAUUUUUAAGUCUACGGUAUGUCAAUCAGAUCAAUAUAAAAAAAUGCAUACGUUA